CCUACGGGAGGCAGCAGUGGGGAAUUUUGGACAAUGGGCGCAAGCCUGAUCCAGCAAUGCCGCGUGAGUGAGGAAGGCCUUCGGGUUGUAAAGCUCUUUUGUCAGGGAAGAAACGGUGGAGGUUAAUACCUUCUGCUAAUGACGGUACCUGAAGAAUAAGCACCGGCUAACUACGUGCCAGCAGCCGCGGUAAUACGUAGGGUGCAAGCGUUAAUCGGAAUUACUGGGCGUAAAGCGUGCGCAGGCGGUUGUGCAAGACAGAUGUGAAAUCCCCGGGCUCAACCUGGGAAUUGCAUUUGUGACUGUACGGCUAGAGUGUGUCAGAGGGGGGUAGAAUUCCACGUGUAGCAGUGAAAUGCGUAGAGAUGUGGAGGAAUACCGAUGGCGAAGGCAGCCCCCUGGGGAUAACACUGACGCUCAUGCACGAAAGCGUGGGGAGCAAACAGGAUUAGAUACCCUGGUAGUCCACGCCCUAAACGAUGUCUACUAGUUGUCGGGUCUUUAUUGACUUGGUAACGCAGCUAACGCGUGAAGUAGACCGCCUGGGGAGUACGGUCGCAAGAUUAAAAACUCAAAAGGAAAUUGACGG
rnacentral:rRNA from 1 species